rnacentral:lncRNA from 1 species
GAGCGCCUACCUAGCUGCACAAGAAGCUCAGGGCCUGAAGAUGAACACGCAGAGGCUGUGUGCAGGGGCAUGAGCUUACAGCUGGAAUUAGAGAUAAAGGAAAAGGCACCUGAGCCCUGUGACAUGCGGGGGGUCAGGGGAGGUGGGACAUAUGUGGCCUCGUAGCCAGAGCCCCGCCUGUUUCCCAGGACAUUCUGAAUACGGGUGAGAGACUGCGCGUUGGACAAUCACUGUGAGUCCCGACCCUUACCAGAAAAGUCACUCGCAGCGUCGUUUCCAGGCAUAGGUUAGGAUCACCAUCCUCUCCCACGGGCCGUAUGUUGCAAUCCUGAUAUGAAAACGUCUUCUAUCUCCUUCAACUGCGGCAGGAGCACAGGUGAAAGAGGGGAGCCCAGACUGGGGGUAGACUGUAUUCGUGGGUUAUGGCCCUAUUUACAGAUCAGUCAUGAUAGCUCUGCAGAUUUGCUGGGGCUCUGUGGCGCAGUGGAGGCGAGGACAGAGGUGGCCCUGCUCUGGGAGAUCCCUUCCUAACUGGGGCUCCCUGACGGCUUCCUGCACAGGAGGGGCCCGACGCCGGCGGGACAAGCAGGGAGCCCAGAUCAGCCUUGGAAAGCUCAGGCUCAAACCAGAGCUCAAUGUGGAAAUUAAAAAACAAACCUUGA